AUUAGAUCAGAUCCUCUCUAUCUACUCCUAGCAUAACAAAUAAACGAUGUGUUUGUGGCGAAAAAUAACUUUAUUUUUUCUUAUGUUGUAUAGAACGAUAUUCGAGUCAUUAAGGCAAAUGUGGAUAAGGGUGACCACACGCCCAUACCGGAUGCUUUAUAUUAUACGGGAUUUAAAAAUGGUUGGAUUUUGCUUCGCCGUAAUUAUUGUAAUAGGGGGAAUAGUUGUUUAUCAAAGUGAAAUAUGGACAAGGUUGAAUGAGCUGAAAAACGGAUAAACCAGAAGUGUGUAUGAUAUCUGGGACUUCGAAUAUUAGAAUAUUUUAAAAGUUUUUUUUUAAACGUCUUUAUUUUUUAUAAACAUUACAUUUACCUAGUAGUGUCAACCAAAAAAAAAAAAAAAACCUGAUAUGACGUCAUCUUAAUGUACGUAAAGAACCUUUCACACUUCAUACCAGAUAAGAUUAGUGACAAAAAGCAAAAACAAUAUCAAUCAAAGAUUAAUAAAACGAUCGCACCCACAACGUCUUCAAGUUUAUUAAUUCCUUUGUUCGAGUAUUGAAAAAUUCAUUGCAAGAUGGCUCCCAACGAGAUCAAAAAAGCCAUGAAAACAGGAGUGAAGCAAUUUUUCAAGAAAACAAAAAAACAAAUGCGACAAGAUGGCGGUGAUAUUUCGAAGAUUAUACUGAUUCUUUCUUUCGUGUUAGUGCCCGCUUUGAUUUGUUUUUUAAAGGGUUUUACCGAAAUUAUCAAGGUGGAAUCCAACCGCAUGAUGUCCGAUUGCAUGGAACAGGACUCUUGUACCUAUCGUCCCUGGGUACCUAACAGGGUUCGGAAAUCGCUGGUUCGAGUUUUUGAAUAUGGUUGAAAAAACAGUAAUAAUGAUGUCUUCAUAUUGUAAUUGUGAUGUUUAUUAUAGCUUUUUAAAAUUAUAUAAAUAUACCAAUGUUAAAAAAACACUUAAUAUGACCAAUAUAUAUUAUUUUAAAGUUA